CUUAACAUGCUAUGUCUUAUCCUGUUAAAAAAAAGUCAGUCAAGAAAACUAAGGGGUUAUAAUAGAUAAGCCUGAAGAUCUUUAACUAUAGUUAUAAUAUAUGGCAUAUCAAGCAGAGAGAUCAUGAUCUCUGCAAAAACCUCUCCAGCAAUAACUUGAAGCUAAAGAGGAACAAGAGCAACUGAUUGGCAUUUUGUUACUUGAGUGAUGGCCCCACUGAUGAGGCAGAAAGGCCAUUAAGGAUGAUCUUUUAUGCUGUCUAAAAUCUGCCAGAUGUCAAACUUAAACCUGUGAAAGUUAUAAUGCAUUAAAUAUAUAUAUGUGUAUAUAUAUAUAUAUAUAUAUAAAUGCCCAGACUCAGAAACCAAUACCUUUCCUAGGCAACUGAGAUUUACAUAUAUUUCUUCCUUUUUACUACUUGCCUGACAUAUUCUUCAUCAUAUUGUCUCCUUUAUUCUCCUACAAAUCAAAGAAUCAUAUUCAUUUAUAUGUAAUAUAAGCUUACUGCCACAAUACAAAUGUGUUGCAUUAAAAAUUAAAAAUAUUAUUUUUUACACUCCAUCAAGAUGAAAAGUGAGCCUUCAUUUUCUUUUGCAGUUUUGUUUCUACACUAUCAUCCUUCUUGUAUUGUACCGCAGGACAUGAUCACUAAUAGACAGCCAAAUUUUGACGGUCCUUAAAGUACGUCAGCUAUGCUCUGUACUUGAAUCCACUUGACAGCAAAUACAAAAGAAUUUUCAAAGGGUUUCCUGUUUACCAAAGACUGACUUCGGACUGUCCCUGUGUGUGUCGUUACCUUGAGGUUGAAACUUUGAAGAAAAAUUAUUCACUCAAAAUGCAACACAGAUUUUAAGGGAUGUUAACAGCAGUCACUACUUCCAGCAACUCCAUGCCCAGGAAUUCUUCCUGCCCUGCUGCUGGAGCCCAGCCCAGGACACCAGGAACCAUGAGGUGUCUCUCUGUGAGGGACAUAACUCCUAUUUUUUUUUCAGGUUUACCCAGUAGUGAAGCUCAGCAUAUGUCCCACAUACAUGCAUAGUCAGGUGCAUGGACUACCACAGACAAGGUACUGCAUUCAACAGCACCUGUAUAUGACAUUUGUUUAAAACGUAAGUACAGAAAACCAAGUCACUUUCCUCCUCUUUUUCUGGUAGAGACUGAACUUCAUGAGUGAAAGCACACAUGCACUGUGCUCCAGAUUCAUAAGAUUCACAAGAACAUGCACGUUCAUGGAUCACCCUGAGUACUGGCACACCAUGAUCCCUCCAUCCAUCCAAUAGCACUACCUGCAUCCCAUAUAAACCACUUCCCAGGUCUCCUAUUCUGCAAGUUCAGCCUGAUGCUCAACAGCAUGUAGAGGUACACACACUUGUCUCAUAGGCACCUCAUACUCAGGUUUUCCUGCAAUACCAGCACACACCCUCUGCCCUGAUACUCAUUGCUUGAUCAAAGACCACCUACUCCCUGGCUAGUCCAGCAUGAAACUUACUAGAGAAUGAGUCAUGUAAACUUCAUCACACACCAUUUUGUGGCAAAUACGAAUACUUGCCCACCUCCAGCAGCAGGCGGUAGACACAGGGACUGUGAUGUGUGGUUCCUCUCUGGACACUGACAUUGAGUCCCUCACUUGCCUUACUCACACCUGUCCCCCCAGCAGCUGUUUUUCAGGACACACACCAUUCCCCCCCCCGCCUUCCCCAAAACUGGCAGCAGAGAUCACCACCCAUUCCAGUAGCUGCCACUGAGACCACCCGUUCUUUCCAGUUGCUGGCACCACAGAUCAGAGUCCCCUUUGCCCCCACUCUGCCUUCAGUUGAUUGCACUAAAUCCACUCAUGUCAGUCCACCCAAUAGCUGGCAUUCUGGAGAUGAAAUCUGCAAGACCUAACAAGACCACCUGGAGAGCUGUCUUUUGACAAUUCUUUUUUGAUUUCUGUGCCCUGAACAAAACUGUAAUAGUUUUCAAUACAGAAUAUACCCAAAUACAACUUCAGUCUUAACAUUUUUUCACAUUUUAAAUACAGAGAUCUGCUUUAGGUUGUUUUCAUGCCAUUAUCCAAUAUCCUAGUACUCGUAGAAUUAAGGUUGUAAGAGAGAGGUGCUGUGAAAUUUCCACAGAGACAAGACCUGAUGGAUAAUUCCUUUGUAACUAAGACGACAAUUUUGCUAUGAUUCCUGCCAAAAGAUCCUUUCAUAUUUUAGACUCAAGAACUUUGGAUUGGGCUGAGAGGUCUGUCUGGAAAAAUCAGGGCAAGAAAGCUGCCAAAAUUUGAAAGAAGUGUUAAGAUCAUUUGGCCACCUCAAAAGCUCUACUCCUGACUUUCUUCUCCCACUCCUUUCUGUGAAGAAGAAAUCAUAGCUGAAGUGCUAAGAGCUGCAAUAGGAAAAUUGCAUCUCUUAAAACAUUUUAAUCUUUCCACCCCCUAACUGCAAACUGCCAAACAACAGAUUGCAAAGCAGCUUUGACUACUGUGCUUACAAGUUCCAUACAUUUGCCUGUUAAGUUCAGGAUGGAAAGGUAGCCUGAAAGCUGACAGUAUUUUCUGUUUAUUUUUGAGAUUCAUCUGUUUUAAGAAAGACUGAUAUAACAUGGAAAGAAUGAAAACAAAAAAAAUGAAAAAAAAUGUUGUUAGCCAAGAGCAAACAAAUUACAUAUGCAUGCUACACAAAUCAGGCACACAUCACGAGUCCCUCCUUAAAUGAAUUCAGUGCUGCCAGACUGAUGGAAUAUAUGCACUGCAGAGAGAAUUGUCAGACUGCUGGUAUCUUAGAUCUGCUUAUCUCAGCUCUGGACUAGCUAUUCAGCUCUGUUUUAUGCCUUUUAGUGUAUCUUAGCUCUGAACUGAAGAGAUUGCUCAUGAGAUUUCUGUUUGUGCUGCUUGCUUCUUGGAUCUCUCUAAUAAAAUUUUCAACAAAAAUGUCAACUAGAGCAGCUUUUCUGAAUUACAUUUUCAGUCCAAGAAGGAACUAAAUGUUGUACAUUCUGUUCCAAAAUUCUUUUAGUUUUGGAUUAAGGAAAACAACAAAGUCAAUAUUUGUAGGUGGAAAAGUGAGAACAAGACACACAUUUUGUCUUUGAUAAUGUAAUAACUGACUGAGAUAACUGAAGGAAACUUCCUUUUAGUCCUUCUGCAACUGGUACAGUGAUCAAGGAGGUCUAGAAAUCUAACUUUCUCUGGAAGCUUCACCUUGGAGAUCACCCUUGCAGAACCAGUAGCACAAAGUACAUUGAGGGCAUAUUCCUUACAUUUUGAUCAGAAGGAUUAUGCCAUGUUAUUGUUUAUGUAUAUUGCCUUUUCAGUUCUUGGAUUUAGGGAAGAAAGAGACACUAGUGGCAAACUAUUAAUCAAUCUUAUUAAUCAAGUCAGCAAUCCCUAAAGAUGAGCAUAGAACUUUUUUCUUUUAAGUUUAGUAAUAAAUUGAUACCAAUACAUAUGAAAUAAGAUUAAUUUCCUUUUGAUAUUCCGCUUGAGUGGCCAUGAGUAGAAUGAAUUUACAUUAAGAGGUUUGGUCAAAAAUUACGUUAACAACACAUGGAGCUGAAGCUGAGCUGAAUGACUGACCCAAGCAGGAGUUACAUAAACAAGGAAAAGUAGUUCCAUAAGCCUAAGGGAAUAAAAAAGCCUCACUCUGAAUUUAGAACUAGUUGAGAGAUAGGAAAUAAACUGUGCUAAUAAAGUGAUUAUUGACAAAGAUUCUGAUAGAUUGCUAAAGAAUUUCAGUGGGUCAGUUUGGCUAUUAAUCCAGAGUAGAGGUUAACCUCAAAACACCCUGUUGUUCAGACUGUGUUACCUUAUAUUGGUCUGCCAAAAUGGGGGAGGACUGCAGAAUAAUUCUUGAAGAUCAAAUGAAACAAGAGGAAAGAGCUCAGCUGUUGUAAUUUAUUCAUUAUAAUGCAGUUUAUUAUAGGUGGUUUCAAACUAAUAUAUGUUUAGAUUUCUGGCAUAGAAAUUAAUUCAAAAUUCUAGGGAAUAGAAUAUGUUUUAUAUACAAUAAGCUUUGGGAUCUACAGUACAGAAAAAAUACAAUAUUUGAUUUCCACUCCAAUAAUAGAUAGGUUGCAUAAUACAUAAAUAUAAUCUAUUUAAUAUAAAAUAUAUUGUAAGGAUAUACAAUACUAAUGAAAUUAAAACCCUGUAGUACACUUCUGUUUCUAACUUUUCAUUAAAAACCAUAAUAACUAAUGGCAAAUUAUGUCAAGUUUAUUGUCUUUAAAAAAUCAUAAAUAAUAAGACAUAAUAAAUGUAAUUCUUAAAAGUAUGUUGAUAAUCUCAUACAUUCACAAGGUAUUCAUCACAUACUUAGAAGAUGUUUUAUUAUCAUCAUUUUUAUUCAUGUUAAGGAAGGACUUUUUCAUGACUCUUGCAAAUUUGCAGUAUGUUUUUAUCAUCAACUUGCAAAAUCUUCUACAGAAGCACCUCUUUUUACUGAGUAUAUUCAACACAUUCAAGGCUUUAUGCAUAGCAAAAGCUGCUCAGAGUUCUAAAAAAUUCUCCCUGUCUUUGUUGCAGUUAUCUAUCAUCAUCAUUGUCAUCACAAGUCAUCUGCUAACACUUCACUUCAAGAGGAAUUUUACAUUUCUCAUCUUUAAAGUUCAGAAUCCUGUGAUCUUAUAAUGCUCUCAUGCUGAUAAUGCACUUCAGUAAUUGUGCUAUAUAGCAAACAUUUCUGUGUGCAAGUUUUAAAUACUUAUUCAGCUGAAUAACAUCAAAAAUCAGAGGCUCUGUUUAAAAUACCAGCAUGUUCUUUUUAUUAAUAUCACAGGAAUGAGACUGGCAUUAUUACCAAUGCAUAAUAAAUGAGACAGAGUAACUGCAAGGCACAUUGCCCUGUGUACAGCUCUGCUAUCAUAAGUAUAAAAUUUUAUUCACUACAUCUUAUGACAUACAUUUUGUAAGAUAAGAAAAUACAAUCUUCUUUUAAAUAUGAUAAGUGGGACCUAAAGACAACAUUAUGUCAAUGUAUCUCAGUUGAAUAAUCAAAGCUCUUAGCAAAAACACUAGGCUGGACAAUGGCUUUAAAACCAUUCUGUUUUCUGACCAGUUGUCUCCAAUAUCCACAGGAAUGCUCUGCCACAUAAGUGAACUGUUUCUGCAUUCCACACACUCUCUUUCAUUGUCUUCUGCCAAGUUUUGUCAAUUUAUGGUUGCAAGAGCAUUAAAACAGCUCAAUGUCUUUAUUACCAUAGCCAUGUCAUAAGAAAGACAAGGUACACAGUGCUAUAUUAUUGAUUUUGCUUGGCAGUGUUUACACAGUGUAAAGGCCUUUUCUGUUUCUCGCAUUGCCUCACCAGCUAACAGUCCGAGUGUGCACAAGAAAUGAAAAGGGGACACAGACAGGACAGCUGACCCAAAAUGAUCAAAGGGAUAUCUCAUGCCAUAGAAGAUUGUGUUCAGCAAUAAUAGCUGGGCAAAGAAGGAGGAAUGCAGACGUUUGUAGUUACACUGUUUGUCUUCCCAAGUAUCCUGCUUUCCAGGAAAGGGGAUAAACAUCUGCUUACUGAUGAGAAGUAACAAAUUAUUUCCUUAUUUUGAUUUGCUUACACAUGCAGCUUUUGCUUUGCUUAUUAAAAUGUCUUUAUCUCAUCCCAAGAGUUCUCCCAUCUUUUCUUUUUUUUUUUUUAAUUUGUGAUUAGGUGACUUCUCAACUAGAUGAUGUUUUUUCAGGCUUUUGAGAAGGAAUAGUAGGUCAAAGACGAUGACAUAUCAGGGACCAAAGCAAUGGGCGGUCUAAAUAGCAAAGAUUCCAGGACAGAAAGUUUAAUACGGGAUAUUAAAUGUCUACAUUGAAAGAAUUUGUUUUAAUGUCCUCCUGUAAUAGUAACAAAUUAAGAAAAAGAUUAUUCAUAUGUAAUACAUUAUGUAGUGUUUAUUAUUAAAAUUAAUUUGUCUGAAAAAAACAAACAAACAAAAAACACCUGGAGAUAGUCUUUGAAGUAUAAAGACUUACUUGCUGUUGUAAUGUUUAUGUCUUGGCUAAGAGUGAAACUCAAGAAUAAAAGGCUAGAUAGAACUCCUUAAUAAUCUACAGUCUACCCACUGUAUUCAAUUUUUAUUGUUCAAAGUUAUUCUUCUCUUUAUCUGAUUAAAUUAUUUGUAUUUAAUUUGAAAAGUUUGAUGGUGCUACACUCCACUGUGUAGUCAUAAAAAUUACUUCUUUGAUAAACUGGUAUUUGAAGACAUGUCAGAAGCACGUUAUUUGUUUAGACUGAUUUCUUUUGUGAAUGUAUGAGUGAAUGUAAGAGAUCAAAAGCAUCCUGGGUCUAACGUGAUGCUCCAAAUAACUACCACAAAGUUACGGCAUAAAAAGACAUUACACUGACAUUAAACACUGACAUUAAAAGACAUUAUACAAGUACCUUCAUCAGUAAUCUCAUUCGUGGUAACUGAAAUAGAGAUACAUAACUGGCAAGAAAUUAUCAGUAACCUCAAAAAGUUCUCUUUUCACAAUUCAUGCAAUUAAUCAAUUGAAAAAAUUAACAAAUACCUAACCUCUGAAACAAUCCUAUUAUUUUCUCUGUAGUGUUCUUCAGUGGUACUCAGUAAAAAAUAUGCAUGCAUUUAAAUUGACUUACAUUGUUUAAAAUAAUUUCACUUAAAAGAUGAUCAAACUGAUUUCCAAAGAUUUUUGUCUUCAUAUUUUCUAUAAGUUGCUUUUUUUUCAGUAAAGACUUAAAAAAACAAACAAACAAACAAAACAAAACAAAACAAACAAAAAAAAUCUUCUUAGGCAAUGAUACAGUGUCACCUAUACUAAUUUCACCUUUUACCUCUUAUAAGUCAAAGCAUUAAGAAAGACUUACUAGCAUAAACUCUCAAAGAAAGAUGUUCUCAAUAAUAGGAGUUUGAGGUUUGUUUUGUUUUGUUUUGUUUUCUGAAAAAUCCUACUAACUAACAAUUCCAUUCAAACAGAAAAUUAUAACCUUAAAAUUAUAUAUUUCUUGAAUGAACAAACAGGAUUACAGGGCAAACAAGUUUUUGAAACUUCAGUCAUGAUUAAGAGCUGAAAAAUGUUUGGACUCUACUUUGGACUCUCCCUUCCUAAAUGGCAAUAUAUGCCACUGCUCAAUACUCGGUGCUCAAGUCUCUCUAGAGGGCCAUCAGCUUCUCCUUUUUCUGUUUUGUGUGCCAUUUAAAUUACUGCCAUUGUUAGAACCUGUUUCAAAAUCAACUUUGUCAAUCAUCCUCAGUUUGUAGAAAUACACAUAGAGAUGAAAAUCUUCUUCUCAAUAGGAUCAAAUAAAUCUUUAAUACUUGGAAGAGAAGCAGGCACAUAUAAAUGUUUAUUGCACCUUAUUAGCUUAUUUUUUGCAAGGUGGGAAAAACAGGAUAUUUGUUUUUCCAUGUUCCUUUGCUGAACAUUUGAGCUGUCUUUUUUGUGAGAAAAUUUACUUCUGUACAUAGGGACAGAUUACUGUUACAAUAGGACUUGCAUCCCACUAACAAAUCCAAAAUUGCGGAAGAGGUGUUCUGCACAUGGGUAAAUUUCACCUGAACAAAUAUCCCCAUUCUAUUGCAUUUCAGUUUUACUCAAUAGAGUAAAGCAGAACCAAAUAUGUAGCCUUCAUGUUUUUCUGAAGCUCACAAUUUUCUACAAUUAAUAUGGCAAUAUGCCUUUUUCCUCAGUCUUCCUGAACUGUUUACAGGGUUGUGUUGGUUUUGUUAAAAACAAGGUCAGUUGUCUUUUAGUGAUUUUUGCUUUUAGCUAAGUUCUUCUAGGUGGCUGUACUUUUCUGAGUUUUUGCCUGCGUAUUUUUCCUUGGAUACUGUACUCGGUGCUGAUAAAAUGACCAACGGAAUGCUGAAGAAGCUCAUGUUUAGAUUUAUUACUAUGGUAGCCAAGAAAGACUGAUAAGAUUUCCCACAUUCCGUCAUGAGAGGGUCAUGUUUGAGGAGGGGCAGACAGAACAGGUGACUAAAACUGACCAACUGAGUAUUCCAUUCCAUAAUCAUCAUACCCCCUAUAUAAGAGGGUGAUCACAAGGGUCUGUCUCUCUUUGACCAUGGCCGGCAUCUAGAGAGGACCUUGUCUGUCUGCCUGAGAUCUGGAAGUCCUCAGGCCCUGCAUCCCUGAAAUCCAGUUUCUGGUUUGCUGUAAAGUCCCGCCCAUGACUUCCGGGUGCCUGCCCUACAGCUGCUGGAGCCGCCAGCUCCGCACACCCAGCUCCGCUGCUGCUGGAGUGAUGCCAACUCCACAUCGAGCACUCAAGAUUGGUUUUGUAUAUUUUGUAUAUAUUCUCUAUUUAUUAGUAGCAUUAGUAAAAGCCUUUAAAACCUUCCAACUUGAAGUUGAAGUCUCUCUUCCUUCCUCCUUAUCUUCCUAUCAUCUUUCCGAUCUAAAGGAAGGGGUGGCGGGAGGUAAGGGGGUAACAGAGAGCGUCUGCCACAGCUUAUUGUUGCCUUGCCUUAAACUUUGGCAGGUUGUCAGUACAAAGAGCUUCACAAUAACACCAAAUUUUUAGUGUGACUAUAUAGUGGUAAAAACUAAAAGAUGACACAAUCUGGUGCAGUAGUUUACAAGAAAACUUACUCCAAAUAUAGAAUUUCAAUUAAAAUAGGUGCAAAAUAGGAGACACAAGUGACCAUGUUGACAAACUCUGGUUAAGUGGUAAAGUGGAGGGAGAUGCAGACUGAAAAGCUUAGGAACACCAGUGCUACUGUAUGUCGCAAAAAUUUAUAGCAAGAUCUCAUCACUACCAUCAUUAAAGGCUGCUUGAAAGGUCAAGUAGCACUAAAAUGGUGUAAGGGCCAUGAUCAGUAAUUAGGAAGAAGCCAUCAAUAUCUUUUGCCUGAAGACUUUUCAGAACCAAAUGGGACCAGAUGAAAUCAGACAAGAAUGUAUCAUACAAAAUGGCUUAAUUGUAAUUAGUAAAUAGUCUACAGAUGGAAUAAGUAUUUGCUUGAUCUCUCCCUUGCCUCCUAAUGUGCUAUGAAGAAACAAUUAGGACUCAAAUGGAUAAUGGAAUAAUAUUAAUCAACAAAAUAUUUUAAAGCAUUUACAAUCAUCUUUUUUCAGUUGUUUGUUUGUUUGUUUUUUUUUUCGGUUAGUUUUAUCUACAGGAUAAAAUUUAAAAGAUACAUUUUCUACAUGAAUCCUGAACAAUCAGGACUGGUUAAACAGAGUGGUAUCAUUUGCAUUAAGUGCAACAUAUAUUAGGAUGUCAAUGUUUUUCUGAGUCAAAAAUAAUUGUAAUCCUUCCUAGGCAAACUCACCGCCAUAUUAUUGACAAUAUUAUAUAUUCUUUACAUAUGACCUUGCUAUAUCAUUAGAACUCUCAGUAUGCAAUUAGGUGUAAAUGGGUGUCUGAGAAAGGAGGUAUAAUUUUUGAUGGUACUUUGAGAAUAAGACAGAAACACAAAUCUCAUUUGCAAAAGUGUUUUGGAAAUAUCUUAUUGUAGAUAAAUACACUUAGUCUUUAUGGAGACAGUCAGUGGUAAUGGGGUGCUUGAACCUCAAAGGUUCUUGGAUCUACAUAUUAAGAUUAUUUUUGAAAGAGAACUUGAUAGACUAAGAUGUAUGCAUGAUUUCUAAAAAAAAAAUUUAAAAAGUUGUUAUUCUUGCUGUGUACCUGUAGAUUACUACUGAAACACUGUCAAAUCACUCCAUCUGGUCAUGACCAACUUCACAGUUCUUUAUUCUCAUUUCUAUGUGUCCCAGUCAUGAAAGCUAUGUAUAAGCAGCUGAAAUUGCUGGCAAAAUAAAAUGAUGCAGUGUAGCUUGCAAAGGUCAAUCUAUGUUGAUUCCUGAACACAGACUCUAUGUUCCAAACAUAUGCUCAUUUUCUAACUUGAUGUGUUCAUGUACAAACUCUUCCACACAUCUAUAGGCAGUCCAGCAAAAGAACACAUUUAUUCAGAAAACAUUUUUUUUAACAUUGUAUAUUACAUGUUUUAUGGAUAGUGAUGUUAUCUCCUCUCACCAUACUAACAUGCUCUUUUGCUCCCCAAAACACCACCUUUUUCUUCACAGCAGCUUAAAUGACAGCCAUAACUGGGUAAAACUCUGAUUUAUUGUUCUAAGCCUGAAAUCAGCUGAUCUGUUUCACAUCUGAAGGAAUUAAGUGUCCCAAAUCUCAUUUUUAAAAUCUAUAUUAUUGAAUCUAUCUAUUUUUAAAAAUAUAUACAUACAAACCAUGCCUUAAGGACACCCUUAGCUUAUGAAUUUGACACUAGUACUACUGCUUCCUCUUAGACACAGAGGUGUUUCAUGGCGGCUCCUGCACAUAGUAUAGGUUCCUGAAUAACUGAGCUGCCUAAGGAUAAAACAACAAAUAUGAUUAUAGUUUUGCAUUAUGUCAUUCUUUUAGCAAUGAAAUAAGAUAGAGUAUUUAUCUUGAAAAAUCAUUGCAUUAUCUUGAGUUUUUAGCAGAUGUUUAAAGGAUUUGCUACUAGAGAACAAAGAAGGGAUCUGUAAGUGAUACUGAGGAAUUUGAGGCAAAGAUUAAUGACCACUUUUUUUUUUAGUAAAUACGUUAUUUGUGUUCCUGUACAAAAGGGUAAAAGAUGCAAAUUAUGACCUCCUAGAAAGAAAACAGGUCUAUCAGUGACCAUCUGAGCUAAUCUUCCGUAUAAACAGUGAUAAAAAAUGAAGACCAAAGCCUUAGUUUUAUAUUAUUUUUAAAAAGCCAUUGGUUGCCGAGAUACUUCUGACACAACUCAGACAAAAACCCCACAUGUUGUCUGUUGUAUGGAGUCAUCUGUAGUUUGUCAUUUAUAGCCUCAAAUUCUUUCCUGAUGAAGACAGAGUUAAAAAAUUAGGUCAUGAUUUAGGAAAGAUGCUUUGAUUUAAAAUAUCAUGCAUGAUGGAGAAAAACUUGUUUCCUUUGAGAGCAAUUACUAUCAGAAUGAUAUCUAAGGAUGACCUUCCAAAACAUGCAGCUGUUAUCCAUCUGAAACAUGUAUCAAAUUAAACAUGUUCCCUUUUCCUGUCUGUAAAACAUGUAUUAUGAAGCAUUAUAUCAUUGAUAUGUAAUGAAAAAAAAACUUCUGCCGUCGCUGAACAUCUGGAACUGCACUGAUGAUGAAGUGCAGCUGUUGCCUUUUAUGUGAACUGUGAUGCACAACUACACAGAGGCAUUUGCUUCAAACCCCUUUACUUAUGAAAUAAUGUGGUUCAGGAACGUGAAUUUUUACUUCAUCCUAUACACAGUGUUCAGAAUGCUGUCAAACACACUCAAAGAUAUACAGACAGUAUUUCUAAGGUAAGUUUGCAAAGUAAGAAGUCCUAUCUCUUUUAAGAUUCACUGAGAACAGUUUAUCUUAAAUUGUUAUGAAUUAUUGAGAAAUUCAGUCACAGAAUCUUGCAAAUCUGGAGCUGAAUUCAACAUUAAUAAAUAAUUGGCAUGGAUAAUAAUAAAUAAAUAAUAAAUGGAUCAAAUACUUGGGUAUAUUAUUUGUACCAUUAUUAACCCUUGUUACUGUUCUUUAAAGCACCUUUUAUUUAACUCUGUCCUUGUCCAAUUUUCUUUUCUUGUGACAGAACAGGCUGAAAUGCAAAGUGAAAAUUUUGUCUAUAUUUUGUAUUGCUUUUCUCUUAUGCAUAAUAUUUAAAUUAAAAUUAAAAAAAAAAAAUCUGUAGACAAAAAUAUUGUUUUAGUAAAGCUCACCUUUUUCUUCAAUCUGGUCAAUCUUCCAAAUGCCACUUGUGUGUAAUUUUUAUAAUGCCUUUGAAUAGCAGACAAAUAAUCACACUCUAGUUUCACAGAGUAUGUCCUUAUCUAAACAGUUUUCUCUUUCACUUUUGAGCAUAUCCUUAUCAAGCUUCCAGGGAGUUUAUUAAUGUCUAUAGUUUAUCCCACCAUACACUCUUGGCCUUUAGAUGAUAAAUCAAUGAAAUUCAGUAAUGCUUCCUCAGAGCGCAAUCAACAUAGUACCUGUUACUUUUCUAAGUAAUCUGUAGAAAGAUGUAUACUUUAAAUGAAUAUCAAAAUUCUUCAUUCUAUUUUUUUUUUUUUUUAAGGAACAACAAAGAGCCCAAGAGAAUAUUUAAUUUCCUGACACAGAGAAUAGUUUACGUUUCUUGAUUUAAAAGGUGAAUUGUUAUGUAGUUUGCUCAUUUAGAAAAGCAAGUUGUUGCCUCUUGUAGACAGAGAAGUCCAGACAGGCACAGGGUCCUACGACUGGGCAGAGCAGAACUGCACUAGACCAUCUCCCCUCCAGUACCAUCAUCAUUAAUAACUCUUAGGUAUUCUUCCCACAUAAUUACAGGCAUCAUACGAGAAGCACAGUUAUUCUAACUCCCUAUACAGUCAACUGAGAAAGCUAGCAAAUUAAAGGAGAUAAUUCAAUCCUUCCAUGGCAUAAAUUGCUCUUUGUCCCUAUUUUUUGCGGGUUGUCUUUUGAGUUCAGUUGAAUGAUUAACAGUAAGUGGGAUGAAGAUGGUCAUGAGGCUUCAGGGCGUAGUGGGCUGACACAUUAACAGGGACAUUUCCUUAGCUCUUAUAAUGAUUCAACCCUUUUUGCUGCAUUACUGGUUUGAAGUAUCUGGAACAGACUACAGAAUUUGAGUCUACACAUCCAAAUAUCAACAAUAAAGAGACUUAAUUGAAUAAUAUUUAAAAAUAAAAAAUCCAAAUAAUCUUCUGUUGUAUUGGCUAAUAUCAGAGAAGUAAAAUAUUAUAGCAAGAUCUUGCUAUAAUCUCCCAGGAAGUGCAACCUGUGAAGGAGUUAUAAAUGAAAAGAUGUUUUUUAAAACUAUGUUUCCCCACAGUAUGACAUCAGUCUUCCAAAACUGAACCAGGAUAGCAAAACAUCGGGAGACUUCCACAGAUAUAUUAACCAACCUAUGGAUUUUCUGUUAAAGCUUGGUUUAACAGCAGUAAGAAAGGAGAAAGGAUCAAGCUUAUUUUCUGUAAAGAAAUGAACUGGAAGGUGACCGCGCUAUAAUAUAAAAAGAUUAGCCUCAUUUUUCACUGUCUUGAAUUUUGUACAGAUUUUUACAUGUGUAAAAUACUAAAAAUACUAUUAAUUCACAUAGUGACAAUUCUACAGUAACUCUUUGCCCUUUUUCAGUGAAAUUGCAUAGCCCUAUUUGAAAGCCCUGAUGGAGUCACUAGGACAGUGUCUUGGAUCCUUCCCUCCAAUCCUCAACCCACACUUUCAGAGUAAUUCUACGUGAGCAUAACUGUAAAUAGAGUUAUCUCAGUCUUUAUAGUGAAGUGCCAUAGCUGUGUAUUACUCCUAAUAUCCUAAAAGCCAAUACAUUAGCAAUGAUAAGUAGAUAUGGUUAUACCAAUGGCAAAUGAUUUUCCAAAUUCAAUUGGUAUUUCAACAUAAAAACCUCUAAAAACCCUAAAAUCCAGAAUUAAAUUUUAAAGUACUUAAAUUUCUUCUGUACUCUUGGCUUUAUUUAGCAUUUGGUAAUGAGUUGCACAGACCAAGCACUUUAUUUCCUUUCUGCCCCUUCAGUAAAUCAAAAAAUUUGUGUUUGGAGAAGCUUUUAAUGUUCUGCAUUCAUUGAUAAUAAAAGAAAUCUGAGAGGUGAAUUUUCUUCAUUCUUAAUAUACUUGCUACUAGAAUGCUAUGAUUAUUUUUGCAUACUGUCAUGGACAGAUAAUAUACAGAGGCAUUUUUUAGUCACAGCUUUUCAUUUUGUAUUUUGAGUCUAUCCAGUUUAAAGUUACAAACCUGUGGGACUCCUUGAUUUUAAUUAGAUUGCUGAAGAAAUAAAUGAAAAUUUUAGUGUUCAUAAAAUAUAGGUUUGCUGUGGACUGUUCCCAAAGCUUAUAAACAAGGAACAUCCUUAAAUCAAAUUUGGACAUACCAACAAUGACAGCAUUUACACUUCCCAGAAUUCUUUUGGCACUUUUGUGAUAUGAGUCAUUAUAAUCUCUCACUAUGCCAGAAUACCAACCUUUUAGUCUUUGGGAUGAAGGAAAACAAUUGCAGCGUGUGUGAUAGGCCGUAUGAACAGCCAUACCUCCAAGACUUUUAUCACCCAUUUGAAGCCUGAGGAAACUACACUUAUCAGAAACCGUAUCUAUAACAUUUCUAUAAAUAUAUACAGUAUAUUUUAUAAUGACAGUAAAAUGAAUGAAGGAAAAUUUGAAACUGAAGCCAAGAAUCCAGUCUAAUUUUUUUCUCUAAGCUUCAGGGUAGUGGCACAGGUGACGAGACUGUAGAAGUAUAGUGAGUGUACUGUUAAAAGCUGUACUAGAGCCGAUGGGAUAAAUAGCAUUUGUAUUACUCUUUCAAUAUGUAUGCAUUAUUUUUCUGUGAGCAUUCAGUAGCAGUUUUUUUUUCUUUUUUUUUUAAUAUAGAAAUUCCAAAAACUAACAAAGAGUUCUUAAAAAGGCAAAGACAUGUUAUUUCUGUUAUUUCUCCAUCUUUAUGGAAUGAAAUGCAUCCUUUACAUGUGCUUCUGGAAUUUCAGAAACUUCCAGAAUAUCACCUGUAUGCUGGCAAAUUGUGGAGAUGAGCCCAGUACCACUAUUAUUAAUGUUACCAAUAAUGAAGAAAUGCAUGCACACUAACUCCUGGAGAGAGUAAAAAUAAACAAACUCUUCUGAAAACAUCUAUACCUCUGCAUCAUACCACUUUCUUUACUAUGUUUAGAAUUAUGAGUCAUAACUGUCCUAAAAUUGAUACAAAAUUAUACAAUUGUGAUUGUAAAAUAUUGCAUUUCUGUGCGCAUCAGAACAUAGUGUUUGAACUUAUCCUAAAUUUUGCCUUCAGCAUUUAAUCACAUAUCUUUAGAUACAUGUGACGAAGUUUGCAGCUAGUAUACUUACACAGGCUUGAAAAAUAUCAAAAUUUUCAGUGGCAAAAAGCCCUAGAAAACUGCAAAACAACAUUGAAGGGAAUUCAUUAACUAAAUUAAAGAUCAAAUAGUAGUCUCAAUUAGUAGAAUCCCCUCUUGCAAAUCCACUGUCAGUUGUGCUAGAAGGUUGCUGCCAAGAAGUCCCUCAUUAUAAAGAUAAGAUUUUGGGGGUAUGAGAUCUACAAGUCCUCAGAUAUGAUGUUAAGCACAUACACUUAUGUGUAGGACAGAUUUAAAAGAUGUCAGAUAUUUACAACAGCUGAUUGCUGACACUGGUAUACUCAAUAAACUGUAUCUAUUGCAAUCCAUGCCUUUUUGGAUGCUUUUUCAGGGGCAUGAUUGCAUAAAUUUAUGAUUGCGUUAAUAUUUGCCUUUUUUGUUUAUGCUGCUAAUAGGUUAUUCCCAAGAAAAAGAUGAGUUGAACAUGCAGAAAAUAGCCUGGAAUUCAGACUUUAAUAAUACCUGAUGUUUGCAUGCUGGGGAAGGGUGUUACUCUCUGACUCUCACAACACUGAGUACCCUCAGUGGCCAGUAAGAAAUACAUGGGUUGAAGCCAUCUCAAACCCAUCGCUCUCUUCAAAAUUAUUUUGCUAGUUAUCUAGUUUUCAUACCCUAUCUUUCACUGAAUCACAAAUUCACUCCCUCCAUGCUGGUCUGACUGCCUUUGGGAAAUAUUCAUGCUCUUUCAAUGAACUCAGGCAGAAACAUUUACUCCACCAGUUGAUCCACUCAGCUGUUGAUAGGCGUUUAAGGACAUGCUCCAGUCCCUUUUGUGAUGAAAUAAGGUCAUCUUCUUUGCAACAGCUGUGAUGAGACACCAUGCGUUACUCCCUGACUUUCAUGGGCACAUCAUCCUUGUCCAUCUCCUCUGAGCUUUCUUCCAUUUAAGACAUUUAUUCAAUGAGUCACAUUCCACCACCAGGAGUUUAGUUAGUCACAAAGAUGGACGGCAAUAGUGUUUACAUAUGCACCUACCAAAAAAUUAAAUAAACUAUCACAUUUUUAAUCAAAGUUUUGGGGAAAUACGAAAUUGUGUCUCUAAAUAAAUACUGCAAAUGAAAAUCUCAUUAAUCUGUACCUACAAGGACUAACCAAUAUGAAAUACAAAACCCACUUUAAAAUAUUUUGGAAGACUUUAAAAUAAUUCAGUGGGCUCCUAACAAUUUCUUCAUUGAAGUAUUAAUAAAGAAAAUAAAGCAAAGCCAUUGCAAAAUGUAUGU